rnacentral:lncRNA from 13 species
AUGUACUGUCAUGUUGUGUCUUGUCUCUGUCCUUUCCCUUCACCCUGUCUCCCUCUGCUGGUCGUUGUUAGGUUACCUUUUCUCCCCCUCUUUCCCCCAGCUGUGCCUUGUCUCCUCCUAACCACCUCGUCACCCCUUUUCCCACCUGUUCCCUUUUUCCCUCUGAUUAGUCCCCUAUAUCUCUCUCUGUUUUUGUUCCUGUCCUUGUCGGAUUCUUGUUUGUUGUGUUUCAUGCCUGAACCAGACUGUCGUCAUGUUUGCUGUAACCUUGUCUUGUCCUGUCGGAAUCUGCCGGUCCGUCUGAGCCUACCUACCAGACUGUCGUCAUGUUUGCUGUAACCUUGUCUUGUCCUGUCGGAAUCUGCCGGUCCGUCUGAGCCUACCUAUGUUUGGUAAUUAAAGAAGCUCUGUUUAAGUUAAUUCGCUUUUGGGUCCUCAUUCACGCACCGUAACAGCGUUUCAUCAAUGAUUGCAUCCAGGACUUCUUUAAUUAUUUUUGCAAGUAUUAAGGCUAAUAUCUUAUAGUCAUUAUUAAGAAGACAAAUUGGACGCCAGUUAUCGAUGAGCAGCACUUCUUUUGGGGUUUAGGUAUCAGUGUUAUUAACCCCUGGCUCAUUGUAGGAGGUAGAACGUUGUUUUUAAUACUCUCUAAAAAAAAGACUUAAAAUAGGAAGGGAGCUACUUGUUCAGAAAAUAAUUUGUAAAAUUCUGAUGUAAUUCCAUCAACACCUGGUGAUUUAUUGUUCUUUAGAUAUUUGAUAGACUCUAAAAUCUCUUCAACUUUGAUGGGUUCAUCACACUGUUUAGAUUCUGUAUCACUGAUAGUGAACAUUAUUCAGGGAGUUCAGUGAGUUAAAAAACAUAUCUGUGGAUUCUGACAGUACGUUGAGCUAUACAAUUUUCUUUAAAAAUUGCUACAGUAUUUAGCGAUUCAUUUUUGGUCAUCUGUAAUAACACCAUCAAUGUUUAACUUAUGGAUAGUGUUAUUUGUAGAGUGGAAUUUCUCAAGUCUAAAGAAAUAGGAUGAAUUCUGUUCUCCCUCCUCAAUCCAUUUUUUCCCAGAUCUAGUAAAGGCUCCUUCUGCUUUUAAUUUAUAUAUAUUAUCCAGUUUAUUUUGUAACUCAAUUAGUUCCAUCUUCUCCUCCCCCGAGAGGUCGGCUGGGGACCUCUGAGAAAGGGAAGUUAUCUUAAUGAUCACCUUUUCCUCCUCAGCUCUUCUGGUCUUAGCAAGAUUACUACCAUAUUUUCUAAGGUAUUUGGACACCUCAAAUUUCAAUAUUUAAUAAUGAGCUAUUUAGCUUCCAGUAGGAUGCUCUACCAAGGUUAGUAUGAGGGGUAAAUAUUUUUAUAUCAAUGUAAAUGGCCCUAAUAUGUGUAGUAACACACUCACUAUCAAGACAUUUGGAUAUGAGCCCAAUAUCUAUUCUCGAUUGUCUGGAACCUGUUUUGUUACUCCAAGUGAAUGAUCUGUUGGCCAGAAACCUCUCUCUCCAUAUAUCAAGCUUUUCCAUGAAAAGUAUUAAACCCAAAUUCUGAUUGGUUGGCCUACCUGGGGGCCAUCUAUCAGUUGAAUUAUCUAUAGUAAUGUUCAAGUCCCCUCCUAUCAAUAAUAACUAAUUCAGAAAUGUAGAUAACCAAUGAAGUAUAUGUUUCUCUAUAGAUUCAAGCAACUCAUCAUUCACAUCAUUCUCCCCUACCCUGGGGUGGCAGGGUAGCCUAGUGGUUAGAGUGUAGGGGUGGCAGGGUAGCCUAGUGGUUAGAGUGUUGGGGUGGCAGGGUAGACUAGUGGUUAGAGCGUUGGACUAGUAACCGGAAGUUUGCAAGUUCCCGAGCUGACAAGAUACAAUUCUGUCAUUCUGCCCCUGAACAGGCAGUUAACCCACUGUUCCUAGGCCAUCAUUGAAAAUAAGAUUUUUUUAACUUAACUUAACUGACUUGCCUGGUUAAAUAAAGGUAAAAUAAAAUACAUAAAAAAUGUUUGGUAUUGUACCCGUAGAAGUUUACAGUAAUGAGUGUAAUAUCAUUGUAACUGAUCAUUCUCAUGUUUGGUAUUGUACCCGUAGAAGUUUACAGUAAUGAGUGUAAUAUCAUUGUAACUGAUCAUUCUCAUGUUUGGUAUUGUACCCGUAGAAGUUUACAGUAAUGAGUGUAAUAUCAUUGUAACUGAUCAUUCUCAUGUUUGGUAUUGUACCCGUAGAAGUUUACAGUAAUGAGUGUAAUAUCAUUGUAACUGAUCAUUCUCAUGUUUGGUAUUGUACCCGUAGAAGUUUACAGUAAUGAGUGUAAUAUCAUUGUAACUGAUCAUUCUCAUGUUUGGUAUUGUACCCGUAGAAGUUUACAGUAAUGAGUGUAAUAUCAUUGUAACUGAUCAUUCUCAUGUUUGGUAUUGUACCCGUAGAAGUUUACAGUAAUGAGUGUAAUAUCAUUGUAACUGAUCAUUCUCAUGUUUGGUAUUGUACCCGUAGAAGUUUACAGUAAUGAGUGUAAUAUCAUUGUAACUGAUCAUUCUCAUGUUUGGUAUUGUACCCGUAGAAGUUUACAGUAAUGAGUGUAAUAUCAUUGUAACUGAUCAUUCUCAUGUUUGGUAUUGUACCCGUAGAAGUUUACAGUAAUGAGUGUAAUAUCAUUGUAACUGAUCAUUCUCAUGUUUGGUAUUGUACCCGUAGAAGUUUACAGUAAUGAGUGUAAUAUCAUUGUAACUGAUCAUUCUCAUGUUUGGUAUUGUACCCGUAGAAGUUUACAGUAAUGA